CUGCAGGACAAGGACAAAUGUUU
rnacentral:piRNA from 1 species